rnacentral:rRNA from 1 species
UACGAAGGGGGCUAGCGUUGCUCGGAAUCACUGGGCGUAAAGCGCACGUAGGCGGACUCGUAGGUCAAUUGUGAAAUACCUGGGCUCAACCCGGGAACUGCAGUUGAAACCGCUUGUCUUGAAUACCUGAGAGGGUGGGGGAAUACCUGGUGGAGAAGUGAAAUUCGUAGAGAUCAGGUGGAACACCGGAGGCGAAGGCGCCUGCCUGGCAGUGUAUUGACGCUGAGGUGCGAAAGUGCGGGGAGCAAACAGG